GACGAACGCUGGCGGCGUGCCUAAUACAUGCAAGUCGAGCGAAGUGUUUCUGGUGCUUGCACCGGAAAAACUUAGCGGCGAACGGGUGAGUAACACGUAAAGAACCUGCCUUAUAGACUGGGACAACUAUUGGAAACGAUAGCUAAUACCGGAUAACAGCAUUAACUGCAUGGUUGAUGUUUGAAAGUUGGUUUUGCUAACACUAUGAGAUGGCUUUGCGGUGCAUUAGCUAGUUGGUGGGGUAAAGGCCUACCAAGGCGACGAUGCAUAGCCGACCUGAGAGGGUGAUCGGCCACACUGGAACUGAGACACGGCCCAGACUCCUACGGGAGGCAGCAGUAGGGAAUCUUCCGCAAUGGGCGAAAGCCUGACGGAGCAACGCCGCGUGAGUGAAGAAGGAUUUCGGUUCGUAAAGCUCUGUUGUUAGGGAAGAAUGAUUGUGUAGUAACUAUACACAGUAGAGACGGUACCUAACCAGAAAGCCACGGCUAACUACGUG
rnacentral:rRNA from 1 species